UGAGAUGCCAAAUAGCCGCUCACUCUUCCGCCUCCACGGACUGGCUUUGGUGUUCAUGCUGGUUGGGAUGUCUACUAUGGACCUGCUGAGCACAGGGCUGGGUUCCUGGGGCACAGAGUUGAUGCUUAUGGCCCAGGAACUGCUGGGCCCCAGGACUGGGCGGUUUCCAUGGUUGCUGCCACAGAAGCAGCAUUGCUGGAGUCAGUAGUGUGGCUGCCUUGCCAUGGCCGUGGUGGGUCUGCCUGGGGGUAUCUCAAUCCCGCAGAGUGCCAGGCAACCACUCCAGCCUGCUGUUGAAGGCCCCUGGCCACCCCUGGAGUUCCAGAAGUUUAAGAGACACACACAAAAUUAUCCAACCCAGAAGAAGAGUGCACUUCCAGGGACAAUUUAAGCAUUCAGCUGGUAGCAGUAAAGCACCUGCUGCAAGCCAAGUGCGUGGAUAGGAGCUGUGGUUACAACCCUGGAUGGGCCAGACAUUAUCCUCCUCUCACGGUGCUAGUGGUGACUGGCAAGGGAGCUGACUUCACAGCAUGAGGGCCACCUGGAAGGUAACCUGUCUCAGGUGGCAGGUUGGGGACUUGGGGCCAACCAGAUUUCUCCUCCUUUCUGUGUCUGUUCCCCUCCAUGAAAUGAAGAGUUUAAGAACCAGGGUGUUAUCUAACCACAUCACCCUGCUUCCAUAUUCAGACCCAGGGUCUGAAAGAAAUGAGAUGGAGACAAAAUGAAAGCAGAAGGUUGGAGGAAUGAAAUUCACAAUAAAACCUACAAUCUGCUCCUUGACCAAAAUGAUAGCUCAGGCACGCUGAGCACUCACUAUGGGCCAGGCGCUGUGCUAAGACCUUCACGUACUUCAUCUCACUCUGCCCUCUCAACAGCCGCAUUUUCCAGUUGACAGACUGAGGCUUGGAGAUGUCACCCUGCCCAGGGUCAAACGGCUAGUAAGUGGUAGAGCUGGGAUUCAGACCCCAGGGUGUCUGACUGUGGAGACUGCAAGGUCAGCUCUGCUCUGUUGCCUCAGCAGGUCUAUUCCUUGGAUUGAAAGAGCUCGCUGCAGUCUGAUUUCCCACAGAACAGUAGCAUGGAAAGAGUGGAGGAAGGCAGGGGAAAAUUCCCAGGCUGGUAGCUGGUGUUCUAUCUGCAAGGCUGCCUUAGCUCAAGCGGCCCCAGCCUCCGGGCAGCUGGUGGGAAGGUAAACUGCUGAAACUGAAGAUUUGCAAAACCCACCAUGCUCCAGUUAACGAGCCUCUUGGAAAACCUCUCUGAAGGUUCCUGGCAGUGUCCCUGUGGGAGCCAGCUCAUGUAUUUUAAGACAAAAAAAAAAUCAUUAAAGAAGUUAGGACUCUGGAGUGGCCGUAAAUGUAAAAUAUUGGUGGUUCGACAGUGUAUCCCUAGCAGCCGUAGGCAGAGUUCAUCUUGAUGAGCCAGAACCAUGUCCAAGAAAUGAAUCAUUUUGUUUUCCUCAGAGGGCUCCCCCUGAAUCUUCCCAGGCCGUCUGCUCCAAAGUUUUUAACUUGCCCACCUAGCUCAGGACCCACUAAGACCACGACUGCUCCUAGCCAGGAAAGGGAAUAGGGUUGGCAGAAUUGUAGAGCAAGCUGGGCCCCAAACACUUCUGGAACGGUGCCUGAGAGAUUCCAUUUUCCAGAUGGCCCCCAAGCCUUCCCUUACUUUGGUUGUUGGUAACCAUAACUGUCACACCAAAGGCACUUGUCUUCAUGACAUUCUGGAGGAGGGAGGUCAUGGCAUGUGGCACCUCUUAGGCACUCCGUGAGUGCUUGUGGAUGGUGGGGGCAAACACAUGGUUUGCAUGGUUUGGGCCUCCCACAUAUGGCACCUGCUUGUCUCUUUGGCUGAUGGGUGUCUUGGUUUCCCUUUGCCCAGCAAAGGUGGUACCACCAUCCAGCCAAUCUUUUAUUCUGCUCCCUCUUUCAUUUGGUGAACCAUAGUGAGGAUCCAGAUCUAGAGGAUUUAAAGUGUUGGGGACCCCCUGCCAGCUCAGAUCAAAUUUAAAGGUGUUGGGGACCCCCACCUGCCUCAGAUCAGAUUAAAGUCAGUGGCAGCCCAGGCCAGGAAUUGAGGCUAGAGGGGGGAUUUCCAAGGUCCCGCCCUAGCCCCCAGCUCCCACAUCCAGGGUGACUUCCAACAAACCACCUGACCCCUCCCCAUCCCCUCUUCCCAGCUUAGAGGCGGGGAGGGUGACAUUGAGCUUCGGCUCUGGGGCGUCCUAAGGGUUAACUAAUUAAUGGUCGGAAAGUGCUUUGAAAAAAUAAAGUGCUGGAUAAUGGGAAGGGCAAUUAUGUUGGGAGAAACUCCUAAUUUGGCUGGAAUUGAUGUUAAUGAUAAAGUAUCUGAAACAUGUAGCAAGCAAGCGUGAUUGUAUUUUAUAUGACAGAGAGAGACACUUACACGCAGGGGACACGGACAGCGGUUAAUUUGGUUAAAUAAAGUGAAAGAUAAAAGGAA